rnacentral:rRNA from 1 species
AAAGAACGGCUGGCGGCAGGCCUAACACAUGCAAGUCGAGCGCGCCUUCGGGUGAGCGGCGGACGGGUUAGUAACGCGUGGGAACGUACCCUUCUCUACGGAAUAGCCUUUGGAAACGAAGAGUAAUACCGUAUACGCCCUUUGGGGGAAAGAUUUAUCGGAGAAGGAUCGGCCCGCGUUAGAUUAGAUAGUUGGUGGGGUAACGGCCUACCAAGUCUACGAUCUAUAGCUGGUUUUAGAGGAUGAUCAGCAACACUGGGACUGAGACACGGCCCAGACUCCUACGGGAGGCAGCAGUGGGGAAUCUUAGACAAUGGGCGCAAGCCUGAUCUAGCCAUGCCGCGUGAGUGAUGAAGGCCUUAGGGUCGUAAAGCUCUUUCGCCUGUGAUGAUAAUGACAGUAGCAGGUAAAGAAACCCCGGCUAACUCCGUGCCAGCAGCCGCGGUAAUACGGAGGGGGUUAGCGUUGUUCGGAAUUACUGGGCGUAAAGCGCACGUAGGCGGAUUGGAAAGUUGGGGGUGAAAUCCCGGGGCUCAACCCCGGAACUGCCUCCAAAACUAUCAGUCUAGAGUUCGAGAGAGGUGAGUGGAAUUCCAAGUGUAGAGGUGAAAUUCGUAGAUAUUUGGAGGAACACCAGUGGCGAAGGCGGCUCACUGGCUCGAUACUGACGCUGA